AUUGAACGCUGGCGGCAUGCCUUACACAUGCAAGUCGAACGGUAACAGGUCUUCGGAUGCUGACGAGUGGCGAACGGGUGAGUAAUACAUCGGAACGUGCCCGAUCGUGGGGGAUAACGAGGCGAAAGCUUUGCUAAUACCGCAUACGAUCUACGGAUGAAAGCGGGGGAUCUUCGGACCUCGCGCGGACGGAGCGGCCGAUGGCAGAUUAGGUAGUUGGUGGGAUAAAAGCUUACCAAGCCGACGAUCUGUAGCUGGUCUGAGAGGAUGAUCAGCCACACUGGGACUGAGACACGGCCCAGACUCCUACGGGAGGCAGCAGUGGGGAAUUUUGGACAAUAGGCGAAAGCCUGAUCCAGCCAUGCCGCGUGCAGGAUGAAAGCCUUCGGGUUGUAAACUGCUUUUGUACGGAACGAAAAGCCUCUUUCUAAUAAAGAGGGGUCAUGACGGUACCGUAAGAAUAAGCACCGGCUAACUACGUG
rnacentral:rRNA from 1 species